rnacentral:tRNA from 1 species
UAAGAUUUUAAGUUGAAUAAACUAAUAGCCUUCAAAUCUUUAAAUAAAUUAUAAAAAAUUUAAAUCUUAA